rnacentral:rRNA from 1 species
CCGCCGUAAGCCUAAGGGUUCCUGGGCAAGGCUAAUCCUCCCAGGGUCAGUCGGGAGCUAAGGCGAGGCCGAGAGGCGUAGCCGAUGCGCAACAGGCGGACAUUCCUGUACCGCCUGCGGACCGCUAUCACCGACGGGGUGACGGAGAAGGGUAGCCGAGCGGGGUUCUGGACGUCCCCGUGAAAGCGCGUAGGGAGCAUCGCAUGGAAAUCAGCGGCGCAUAUAUCCUGAGACGCGAGACGAAAGCUUAUGCUGAAGUCGGCGAGCCCAUGCUUCCGAGAAAAACCUCUAGGAAGGGACGCAGGCGCCCGUACCAAAACCGACACAGGUGGGCAGGUAGAGCAUACCGAGGCGAUCGGGAGAACCAUGGUUAAGGAACUCGGCAUACUGACUCCGUAACUUCGGGAGAAGGAGUGCCCCUGGCGGUGGAGGGACUAGCUCCCCGAGCGGCCGGGGGUCGCAGCGAAACGGCCCAAGCGACUGUUUAUCAAAAACACAGGACUCUGCAAAGCCGCAAGGCGACGUAUAGGGUCUGACGCCUGCCCGGUGCUGGAAGGUUACGCGGAUGAGUUAGCGCAAGCGAAGCCCUGAAGCCAAGCCCCAGUAAACGGCGGCCGUAACUAUAACGGUCCUAAGGUAGCGAAAUUCCUUGUCGGGUAAGUUCCGACCUGCACGAAUGGCGUAACGAUUUGGGCGCUGUCUCAACCAUGGACCCGGUGAAAUUGUAUUAUUCGUGAAGAUGCGAAUUACCUGCGGAAGGACGGAAAGACCCCGUGAACCUUUACUGCAGCUUGACAUUGGUCGUUGGCUCGGCGCGUAGAGGAUAGGCAGGAGGCUUCGAAGCGGGGACGCCAGUUCCCGUGGAGCCGGCCUUGGAAUACUGCCCUCGUCGUGUCGGCGACCUAACCCGUGGCCGUGAUCCGGCACGGGGACCGUGUCAGGCGGGUAGUUUGACUGGGGCGGUCGCCUCCCAAAAUGUAACGGAGGCGCGCAAAGGUCCGCUCAGGACGGUCGGCAACCGUCCCGAGAGCGCAAGAGUGCAAGCGGGCUUGACUGCGAGGGCCACAACCCGAGCAGGUGCGAAAGCAGGUUCUAGUGAUCCGGCGGCCCAGAGUGGAAUGGCCGUCGCUCAACGGAUAAAAGGUACUCCGGGGAUAACAGGCUGAUCUUGCCCAAGAGUCCACAUCGACGGCAAGGUUUGGCACCUCGAUGUCGGCUCAUCGCAUCCUGGGGCUGGAGCAGGUCCCAAGGGUACGGCUGUUCGCCGUUUAAAGCGGUACGCGAGCUGGGUUCAGAACGUCGUGAGACAGUUCGGUCCCUAUCCUCCGCAGGCGCAAGAAGAUUGAGGAGAUCUGCCCCUAGUACGAGAGGACCGGGGUGGACGGACCUCUGGUGGAGCGGUUGUCGACCAACGGCACCGCCGCCUAGCUACGUCCGGCACGGAUAACCGCUGAAAGCAUCUAAGUGGGAAGCCGCCUCCAAGAUGAGUCUUCUCUUCGGUAAGGGCCCAGGUAGACCACCUGGUCGAUAGGGCGCAGGUGCAAGCACGGCAACGUGCUCAGCCGAGCGCUACUAAUAGCCCGAGCUCUUCUUCAC